GUUGCCGGGUCAGCGGUCAAGGAGGCUGGGGGGGUGUGGCCCGAGCCCAGUCAGUGGCCGCCGGCGACCUUCUUCCGCACCUGGUCCAACUUGGACCUUUCUGUGGAGACGUUGGCCCCUGGGCCAGAGCUCCAGCGGCCUCGUUAGGGCGAGCCUGGAGGCUUGGAGGAAUGAGGUGAUGCCUGAGGAGCAGAUGGGCCAAGAUUUGUGACUUCCCCAACUGCUUCUAUAGAUAGCCUUGCUAUUGUAAAGCCUAAGACUGGUCUUUGAGAUAUUCUUCAACUCUUCAACUGAUGCCAACCGGACCUGUGGACAUGCGUGGGAAUGGAUCCAACAAGCCCUGAGACCCCCUACCCAGGAAAUCCCCCAGCUGAGAAGAGGAUUUCUGCUUCCUGACCCUAUGACUUCAUCCCCAGCCCUUUGUUUUCCAAACCACCUUUCAAAACCUUAGCCCCCACAUUCUCCAGGAGAUGGGUUUGAGAAAUUACUUUCAUCUCCUGGCCUGGCUCCUUGCCAAAUAAAACUCUUUAUGCACUGCAA